AGGCAGCAGUGGGGAAUAUUGGACAAUGGGCGAAAGCCUGAUCCAGCCAUGCCGCGUGUGUGAAGAAGGCCUUCGGGUUGUAAAGCACUUUAAGCGAGGAGGAAGGUUCGUUAGUUAAUACCUAGCGGAAUUGACGUUACUCGCAGAAUAAGCACCGGCUAACUCUGUGCCAGCAGCCGCGGUAAUACAGAGGGUGCAAGCGUUAAUCGGAAUUACUGGGCGUAAAGCGCGCGUAGGCGGUUGUGUAAGUUGGAUGUGAAAUCCCCGGGCUUAACCUGGGCACUGCAUUCAAAACUGCACGGCUAGAGUAUUGGAGAGGAAGGUAGAAUUCCAGGUGUAGCGGUGAAAUGCGUAGAGAUCUGGAGGAAUACCGAUGGCGAAGGCAGCCUUCUGGCCAAAUACUGACGCUGAGGUGCGAAAGCAUGGGGAGCAAACAGGAUUAGAUACCCUGGUAGUCCAUGCCGUAAACGAUGUCGACUAGGUGUUGGGGAACUUGAUUCCUUAGUGCCGCAGCUAACGCAUUAAGUCGACCGCCUGGGGAGUACGGUCGCAAGACUAAAACUCAAAUGAAUUGACGGGGGC
rnacentral:rRNA from 1 species